rnacentral:rRNA from 1 species
GACAGAGGGGCCGAGCGUUAGGCGGAAUCACUGGGCUUAAAGCGUGUGUAGGCGGACUCGUAAGUGCUUUGUGAAAUCCCACGGCUCACCCGUGGAACUGCUUGGCAUACUGCGAGCCUUGAGCCACUUAGGGGCAACCGGAACAAACGGUGGAGCGGUGAAAUGCGUAGAGAUCCGGACGAACACCGGUGGCGAAGGCGGUCUGCUGGGCAGUUGCUGACGCUGAUGCGCGACAGCGUGGGGAGCAAACAGG